UUUAAUAUAUCCACCUACUAUCUUAGACACAAUCUGGACAUCUUUGAAUUUUAAAAUAAUUAAGAUUCAGUUCCCACCAUGCCAUAUCUAAUACGGUGUGGUAGGAACAGGCUUUGAGAGAAUCUAAUUCCAUAGAAAUAAAGCAUGUCUCUAAAAAAAUAUAAAUAAAUCAGUGAAGUUCAUUAUGAAUCAGACCAUAUCUCAUAUAGUUCCAUGACUCUUUUUAUCUCAUUGAGCUGAGAUAUA
rnacentral:lncRNA from 1 species